rnacentral:lncRNA from 1 species
AAAUAACAUAAAGGAGUAGGUCCGGUAAGGACCGAUUUUGGCCUCAAAUUUCAGGUUCAUCUGACGAAAGAUUUUGACCACUUUUUAAACACAUUAGUGUCUAUUUCAUUUGAAUCAAUUAGUUUAUGUGAAAGAUUUUAACUGAUUUAGUCAUUAAAAACGAUCCGAUUCAAGCUCAAAUAUGAAAAAUCUACCAAAUAUGCCGAAAAAUGUCACUUUUCAGAUGGUUUUUGUCAAAAAUGAAAGUGGCCGCAUCCGUGUUCAUCCUCAACCUUUAUAUAUGUUAUGUAUUAUCAUAAAAUACAACUUACAUUUCAAUAUUAAGGAUGAACACUAAUG